rnacentral:tRNA from 1 species
UAUAGUAAGAGGAAAAUCCGUCGACUUUCGAAAUCGUGAGGGUUCAAGUCCC